AUUGAACGCUGGCGGCAGGCCUAACACAUGCAAGUCGAACGAGUGGCAGCCGGGUGAGUACUGUCUGGGAAACUGCCUGAUGGAGGGGGAUAACUACUGGAAACGGUAGCUAAUACCGCAUAUCCUCGGAUGUGCCCAGAUGGGAUUAGCUAGUAGGUUGGGUAAAGGCGCACCUAGGGGACGGUCCCUAGCUGGUCUGAGAGGAUGACCAGCCGCACUGGAACGGAGACAGGGGCCAGACGCAUAGGGGAGGGAGCAGUGGGGAAGAGUGAGCAAGGGGCGCGAGGCUGAGGCAGCCAGGCGGCGUGUAUGAAGAAGGCCUUCGGGUUGUAAAGUACUUUCAGCGGAGAGGCGUUACCCGCAGAAGAAGCACCGGCGAACACCGUGCCAGCAGCCGCGUAAUAC
rnacentral:rRNA from 1 species